rfam:Lupinus angustifolius cultivar Tanjil chromosome LG17, whole genome shotgun sequence.
GGGUCCAUAGCUCAGUGGUAGAGCAUUUGACUGCAAAUCAAGAGGUCACUAGUUCGAACCCGGUUGGGCCCU